CGAAUGAACGAAAGUCCAAGAUAGAAUAUGACAAAAACUAAAAAGACUGCUGCCUCUAAAAAAGGGAAAAAAAAAAAAGACCAAAUCAAACAAAGGAUUGAGUCCUCGUCGGAAAAUGAUUCAGAACUUAUUACCCCAUCUCCAGU
rnacentral:ribozyme from 1 species